AUCUGGUUGAUCCUGCCAGUAGUCAUAUGCUUGUCUCAAAGUAUAAGCCAUGCAUGUCUAAGUACAUACUUUUACAUAGUGAAACCGCGAAUGGCUCAUUAAAUCAGUUAUGGUUCCUUAGAUAGUAAAAUCCUACUUGGAUAACUGUGGUAAUUCUAGAUCUAAAACAUGAAGCACGGAUCUGACCUCGCGGAAUGAGCGCGUUUAUUAGAUCAAAACAAGUCGGGUUCGCAAGGGCCCGUCGGAUUGGUUAGACUGGAUAACUUUGUGCUGAUCGCACGGUCUCGCGCCGGCGACGUAUCUUUCAAAUGUCUGUCCCAUCAACUUUCGAUGGUAUGUGAUAUGCCUACCAUGGUUGGUACGGGAAACGGGAAAUCAUGGUUUCUAUUCCGGAGAGGGAGCAUAAGAAACGGCUACUACAUCCAAGGAAGGCAGCAGGCGCGCAAAUUACCCACUCCUGGCACGGGGAGGUAGUGAUUAAAUUUAGCAAUACGGGACUCUUUCGAGGCCCCGUAAUUGGAAUGAGUACACUAAAAACCCUUAAACGAGGAUCUAUUGGAGGGCAAGUCUUGUGCCAGCAGCCGCGGUAAUUCCAGCUUCGAAAGCAUAUCUUAAAAUU
rnacentral:rRNA from 1 species